CGGCACACUUGAUUCAAAUUGACAAAGUUUACUGAUCUUUUACUAUACAACAAAAAUGGAUGCAUAAAGCUGAUAAUACAUUGCUUGGCAGCCUAUCAAUUAUCAUAGUUAAAUAGCAUUUACCCCUCCAAAAUAAUAGGAACGUAAAAAUAUGUUCUUUCUUCUCUAGUCCUAUUCAUGACAAACACGACUAAGAUAUUAAAAUUAUUUGACAAAACAGACAAAUGAACAAAUGUCCUCUCUUUCUUGAUCAAUAUUUUCAGCCCAAAAUACAUUUCAACUUUAGGCAUUCCCGGCCACUAGGUGAACUAUUCUGCUCACCCUUCCCAUUAACAGAUUUUUUGGCAAGCUGGGGUUUUCUCCACCGUAAUAUCUCAAUCAAGUAACUUGGUCUGAUUUGACUUAAAAUGGAUCCACAAUAGCAUUCACACCAAUUGGCACAACUUCAUCAGUUUCUUAAGUUGCAAUAUAAAUGCUAAAGUUGGAAGAUGUAAAAUUCAAACAUUUCAUGGUUCACUUUCUAUCAAAGCUUUGGCAAGGGCACAGCUGCCUUGCGCUUUGCAUACUCAUGAGCAAUGCUUAUUGCACUCUUACUAUGCCGCAGUGAGAACUCUGCUAGUAGGAUCUGGCUUUCUUCUGAUGUCAAAUCACCAUGACAGCCCUGCAAAUAUUAAUGCAAAAUUUAAUGUUUUCAUUAAAUUUUAAAAUAAAAUUGCAACCGCAAAUGAAAAGUUUGGCCCCACACAAGAACAGAAGAAAGGAAAAUAACUCCUAGUCAACCUGUUUGGGAUCGAAGCUUUAAUUGAAAUUGAAUUACAUAAAUAAUUGGGAUUCAUGUACAUCAGAGUUUGAUGAUAACCAUUGUUAAGUAUUAGAAGUAAUAGCCGAAUAACCAUGGUACCAAUCCACAAUCAUCAGAGUGCCAACGGGGAAAUACACCCCAUUGGCUUUCUGACCCUUCCUUGUCUUGCAGAUAGCAUCAAGAAGCAUAACAUUUUAACAACAUUUGCCAACGGAUGCAAUGAACUUAUAAAUCUGGGAUACCAGACAAAAUAAUGGUCCUCUCUCAUAUUCUCCUUUCUGAUAAGCAAAUUAGUUGGCUCCAAGAACAACAGCAUCUGAUCACCCUCAUUUCAAGGAUGAACAUGAACUUCCUUGAAGUUCAUAUAAUUUUGUUUGCAGCCGAGAAGUUCUGUCACAAACAGCAUGAUGCAUGAGGAUGCCUGCUGCAACUGAAACAUUGAAAGAGUCUACCAUGCCUUUCAUUGGAAUACUGCAGUGCAAAUCUGACUGUUCCAGGGCUUCAUCACUUAUCCCCCUAUUUUCAUUUCCAACUACUAUUGCAAUUGGGCAUGACCAAUCCAUGUCAUAAAUGGAUACCUGAGCAUGACAAGAGAGCGGUUCAGACAUAUAUCUAAACCAAGGACAUUUCACUUCAAUUGCCAAAGAUGCUAUACAGUUCAACACUGAUUAUCAUUGCCAACUUAUAGCAAUAGAACUUGUUAGAUGAUAAAUUGCCUUCCCAUACAAACCUACAAAACUAUUUAUUCUAAAUAUAGUCUUCCAUGAGAAAAACUUUGCAAAACAGAUUAGAAUAGGUCAUUACAGCAUCCAUUCCAACGUUUGUCGUGGCAAUUUGAUAACCACGUGAUUUUAGAACUUGAAAGCACUCUUGGGUUGAGUCCCAAAGUUCAAUAUCCAACCAUUUCUCUGCACCCAUGCUAACGUGGCGAUUGUCUCUAUACCUGCAACAACAAGAAAGCAUGGGGUGUUGGUGAAGUAACAUAUCACUUUUCUCUUAAAGCUUCUGGAAAACCAGGAACAGCUAAAAGAAACUAAAUUGUGCCUUGUACCACUGUGAACAAGUCAUGAGAGACGUAUGAAAACCUCCAUGGCAUGGGUUUUGCACCAAUUCAUGUAACAAAAUCAAUUUCAGGCUUUUCAGCUAUGGAUAUAUGGCCUCAGUCCAAAUGAUAUGUUUUUAUUAUUGAAUUGAGUUAAAUGGGUGGAGGUGAAUGACUAGGCUAAGGCAAUAGUCCAUGAAGUAUGAGACGGACAUACUCGAACUUAGACCAACCACUACUAAAAGUUAGAACUAACCAAUCAGUUAGUUGGUCUUCUAUCCUUAUAUACCCUUUUAACUUGUUAACUUGUUGUUUCUUUCCAAUGUGGGACUCUUGGCACUCCCAAGGGAACUGAUAUUUAGUUGACACUUGAUCCGUGAAAUCUUCCCCCGAAACCUUGAAUUGGCAAAGCAGCAACAUUAGGAACCUUAAAACUUGAAUUGAACCGGGCAAGAACGGGUGGAAGUGUAAGAAGGGCAUACUCUUGACAGUUUUCUCUCACUAUCAUGACAUCCUAUUGAUCUUAUACAGGAUAUUGAACAAGUAAAUAACUUAUAAAAAUCCUUGAACAAAGAUUCAAACUUGAUAAGAACAUUAAUCUGGUCUAGUAUCCUAUACUAGCAAAUGCAAUGUAAAGGACUGGAAUUUUACUUAAAACUUAUUCUGACUCAAAUACCCACCCUUUUUCUUUCGUAUCAAAGGCUCAAAGCAAACCAAUCAACACAAUCAACCAUUAAGCUUGAACCUAAAAAUAUCCUAAAACACACAUCUCAACCUAUUGAAUCAUAAAAUUUUCCGUAAUAUGACAUGCCACUGCCAUUGGUCUUUAAUGCAAAACUCGAGUUGUGUAUCCACCAGACAGACAACCAAUAAACAUCCAAACUUAUUAUUAACUAUAAAUUAAGUAAUGCCAAAAAAGGGGGGGAAACGAAAUGCAUCAAUCCAUUUCACCUCAAAUCCCCAUGCACCUUUUCGAGCUAUCACACGAGACCACAUGAACUGACUGGAAUCCCAGCGCGUCCGCAGACCGAAACGCGGCUGAAACGUUGCCAAAAUCACUCAAUCCUUCCACCACCAGGCACACCGAGUAGCUCCGGUUCUUCACCGCACUCCUAAACCUUUCCUUCCUCUCUUCCAUUAUGUACGGCCCCACCGCCUCCAAUACUUCCCCGCUAUUCAAAUAUACCCCAUUCCCACACUUAAACCUAUCCAAGUAAGGAAACCACCGCCCUAGCAGUUGUGCGGGCUCAACUCCACUGUCGAAAACCGGCGACAACCUCCUCUCCAUUUUCAUCAGUGUCGAAACAUCAUCGCGGUUGUUGAGCAAGUACUCUACGGUGUUGUUUUUCUCGGAGUUAUCUUGGGAUUCGCCUGCUUCAAAUUCUGUGGAUUCUAACGAGAUUGCUCCUUGCAGAGUCCCAUAAGGCCUUGCACGGACUCUGCAGGGACUAGUUCCUGGAAGGGAUCGAGAGAGGAGAUGAAAAUUGAGGGAGAGGAAGGGAACAGAGCGGAGAGAGAAUGGAAAGAAAGAUUUGGAAUUGAAGAAAUGUGGUUUUGAUUUUUCGAUGGAAGAAAUCGAUGUGCAGAUUAGGGUUAAGGUUUCGCAGGAUCUCAUUUUUGGAUAUUGGCGCCCAGAUUAGCGGAG
rnacentral:misc_RNA from 1 species